UACGUAGGUGGCAAGCGUUGUCCGGAUUUACUGGGCGUAAAGGGCGUGCAGGCGGUCUGUUAAGUGCAGGGUGAAAGCUCCCGGCUCAACUGGGAGAGGUCCUUGCAUACUGGCGGACUUGAGGGGGGUAGAGGAAAGUGGAAUUCCCGGUGUAGUGGUGAUAUGCGUAGAUAUCGGGAGGAACACCUGUGGCGAAGGCGGCUUUCUGGGUCCCUACCUGACGCUG
rnacentral:rRNA from 1 species